rnacentral:rRNA from 1 species
UACGUAGGGUGCGAGCGUUUGUCCGGAAUUAUUGGGCGUAAAGAGCUCGUAGGCGGUGUGUCGCGUCGGUCGUGAAAACUUGGGGCUUAACCCUGAGCUUGCGGUCGAUACGGGCAUCACUGGAGUUCGGCAGGGGAGACUGGAAUUCCUGGUGUAGCGGUGAAAUGCGCAGAUAUCAGGAGGAACACCGGUGGCGAAGGCGGGUCUCUGGGCCGAUGACUGACGCUGAGGAGCGAAAGCGUGGGGAGCAAACAGG